GAAGGAGACAUCCAAAGGGAUCGCAUUGAUCCUAGACCUGGGUCUUAAAUCUCUCUUAAUAUUUGGGAUCAUGCUAUCCCUUUGGAUUCUUCCUU